CGUCAGGAUGAACGCUAGCUACAGGCGUUAACACAUGCAAGUCAGGGGCAGCAUGAGAUUAGCUUGCUAAUCUUGAUGGCGACCGGCGCACGGGUGAGUAACGCGUAUCCAACCUUCCCCCUACUCAGGCAUAGCCCGGUGAAAACCGGAUUAACUCCUGAUAGUUUCACUAGAUGGCAUCGUGACGGUGAAUAAAGCUCAGCGGUAAGGGAUGGGGAUGCGUCUGAUUAGCUUGUUGGCGGGGUAACGGCCCACCAAGGCGACGAUCAGUAGGGGUUCUGAGAGGAAGGUCCCCCACAUUGGAACUGAGACACGGUCCAAACUCCUACGGGAGGCAGCAGUGAGGAAUAUUGGUCAAUGGGCGCGAGCCUGAACCAGCCAAGUAGCGUGCAAGGACGACGGCCCUAUGGGUUGUAAACUGCUUUUGUAUGGGAAUAAAGUCAGGGACGUGUCCCUGUUUGCAUGUACCAUAAGAAUAAGGACCGGCUAAUUCCGUGCCAGCAGCAGC
rnacentral:rRNA from 1 species